AUUGAACGCUGGCGGCAGGCCUAACAAAUGCAAGUCGAACGAGUGGCGGACGGGUGAGUAAUGUCUGGGAAACUGCCUGAUGGAGGGGGAUAACUACUGGAAACGGUAGCUAAUACCGCAUACCAUCAGAUGUGCCCAGAUGGGAUUAGCUAGUAGGUGGGGUAAUGGCUCACCUAGGCGACGAUCCCUAGCUGGUCUGAGAGGAUGACCAGCCAAACUGGAACGGGGCCAGGGUCAAGACUCGUACGUGAGGCAGCAGUGGGGAUUAUUGCAAAAGGGGCGCAAGCCUAAUGCAGCAUGCCGCGUGUGUGAAGAAGGCCUUCGGGUUGUAAAGCACUUUCAGCGAGGAGGCGUUACUCGCAGAAGAAGCACCGGCUAACUCCGUGCCAGCAGCCGCGGUAAUAC
rnacentral:rRNA from 1 species